GGGUUCUGAUUUUCUAUCACUACACCAGCAGCAGUUUGGUUUCCUUGAGAUAAAGAUGAUCUCCCAACAUUUUCUCUUGUGGACGAACCCCUCUGCGACAACUCAAAGUUAACCAAGCACAAAUGGUUCCAUAUUACAACCAAAACAUCUUCAUGCAUGCAUGGCCAGUAAAAAUGGUUACCUUUCGACGUUUAUAAGGUGAAGUUGCCUCGCUUGGUUCAAAAUGUUUCCUGGGACGACCACGACGUGGGGGUUCUCGCUGUCCC
rnacentral:lncRNA from 1 species